rnacentral:rRNA from 1 species
UACGGAGGGUGCAAGCGUUAAUCGGAUUUACUGGGCGUAAACGUGCGUAGGUGGUUUGUUAAGUCAGUUGUGAAAUCCCAGGCUCAACCUUGAAUUGCAUCUGAUACUGGCAGACUAGAGAUGGUAGAGGUUAGUGGAAUUCCAGGUGUAGCGGUGAAAUGCGUAGAUAUCGGAGAACAUCGAUGGCGAAGGCAACUGACUGGGCCUGAUCUGACACUGAGGUACGAAAAGCGUGGGGAGCAAACAGGAUUAGAUACCCGGGUAGUCC